UACAGAGGGUGCGAGCGUUAAUCGGAAUUACUGGGCGUAAAGCGCGCGUAGGCGGCUAUGCAAGUCGAGUGUGAAAUCCCCGGGCUCAACCUGGGAACUGCAUUCGAGACUGCAUUGCUUGAGUAUGGGAGAGGGAGGCGGAAUUUCAGGUGUAGCGGUGAAAUGCGUAGAUAUCUGAAGGAACAUCAGUGGCGAAAGCGGCCUCCUGGACCAAUACUGACGCUCAUGUGCGAAAGCGUGGGGAGCAAACAGG
rnacentral:rRNA from 1 species